UUUUCUCUCUAGGGUUAUUCGCUCUCCUCUCUCCUCGCUCGCAUCGAUUUUGCGAUUUUUCACAUCCAACCUCUUGAAUCACCCACACACCAGCAACUCAGCUAGAUCCGGUGGUGAUCAACGGCAUCUCUGACGAGGGUGCAGACAACACAUUCAUGAUUCACCUGAGAACCUGGUUAGUGUUGUUCAAAUAACCAUACCAAGUUACAAUGACAAGAGGGAAGAAGCAGCAGCAAGGUCGUGCUGCCUCAUCUAAUGUGAGAAGGAGGUUGCCCAAAUAAUUUGUGAAUAUCCAAAGGACGAACUAUGGUUUACAUUACUCUGCAAGAAGAUACAGAUGCAGUCAUGAAAGGUGCUCAUAAGUUAGGUAAAGACUCUGUUACAACAAGCUAAAGUCAAGUAUAAGCAGGGUGUAUCUAGUGGUUACGUGAUGACUGAUGAAACAAUAUUAUUGUGAAUCUGUUUUAUUUGCUUGUACAUUUAUUCUAAAUUGCUUCAGAGUUUAUUAUGAGAUGCUUUCAACUUUUAACAAAAGUGCUCUUGGAACUGUACGAGAAAAAUAUCAUCGAAACAUAUUGAAGUGAGAUCUUGUUUUGAUCUUUUUGUUACGGGCAAAGCAA